CAAGUGAGGGGAAGGGCCAGGAGCCCCGGUGGAACCCUCCUUAGCCUGUGGAGAUCCACUGCAGUUUGUGCCAGGGGGCCCCAACCACCGGGCCACGGACCACUACCAGUCCGUGGCCUGUUAGGAACCGGGCCGCACGGCAGGAGAUGAGGAGCAAGCAACUGAGCAAAGCUUCAUCUGUAUUGACAGCCGCUCCCCAUCGCUCACAUUACCACCUGAGCUCCGGCUCCUGUCAGCAUUAUGGUUAAGAACAUCGUGCAGACUGUUAUUAAAGUUGAUCCAAAAGGGCAAUCUGUUCUAAAUGACAGUCCCUGGAUCUGCCACGGAACCCUGUAAGUACCCUUCAUUACUCUGGUGGGGCAGUAUCACAUUUCCUUUAUGCUACUUUUGUGGCUGACACAAGCUGGGCAGUGAGAUUUGGGCUUU